UGCUCCUUAUGUCAUAAAUCAAUCCAAGCACCUCUGCUGAGGCCAAGCAAGUAAUCGAGGUCGAACGCAUAAUUGCACCCUUUCAGCUGCAUACACCCUACUCCGGGAACCUUGGCAACUCCAUUGUUGACACUCACUCGUCACUGCACACCUCCUCCAUCCCUACCCAAAAUGCUCUCUCGCUUGCUUCCUAAAUCCUCCCAUCUUCAUCUACUAUCGGUGAUCACAUCCAAAUCCCAGUCUUACCCUCCCGGCACUUCUCUUCGAAUCACGACAGCGGUGGGAGAGACCCGAAGAUCUCUGACUCGUGGAAGCUUUCCAAGGAGAGCGAGGGGAGUUUCGACGGUAUCUACGACGAUGAGUCCGGCAGGAACUUGGGGGGAUUUGGUGAGGAAGCAGAGGAAAAGGGGGGCGGCGGAAGAUGACUGGCUGACAGCCGACGGGUUCGAUCCGUAGAAGCUAGGUGAGGAGGAGGUGAAGGAAGAUCUGUUUGAUUUCGGGGAGAGUGCCGAGGUCGUGGCUGAUACAAAGGUGAGAGCGGCGGCACUGAGGGGUUGAAGACGGAAAUGACAGAGGGAGGAGCAGCGAAAUACUGUGGAGAAGAGAAAGAGCUCACUGAGCUGAGAUUGUCAAAAGUUUGAUAGCUCUCAAGGACUUUGAAGGCAUCAGAGGACUGCCGCCUCUGAGUUCAAAGACAUGUGCUAUGAGUUCUUCACAUUCUCUGGCAAGAUCGAGCACGUCGAGAUCCGAAGGUACACGUAUAGUCGGAACAACCGUGAUGCAUGUUUACCUUACCUCAUGUUUAAAUAAUGUGGCUGGUUUAGUUGCUUUGUGGUAAUAGUUCAUCCAUAGGCAAAUGGACAAUCUUUAAUUUGUGAUUUUGAUGUCUCAUUGUGAGUUGGGAACUUUUUGCUCGGAUGGAUCGAUAUCGUGGUUUCAUGUUUUUUUGUUGGUGGUCUAGUUGCUCUGUUGGUAUCUUUUCCUUUCGCAGGUGGAGAAAAGAUGCUUCUCUUAUUAGCGCAUGUAGCAGUUCAGAUGGUUAAAAGGGCUUCUUUCAACACCUAGAUGAUGUCAAGCCACGAAAUUACAAAGGUCGUUUUCCCUAUGCUUGAUGAGGACCACCUUGCUCGAUGAAGAAGCAUCGAUGUAGAGGUUCAAAUGAUGACACAACCCAAUAAUCACAGCCACUGUUUUUGUAUGAACUUUAUUAUUGUUGUUGGUAUUAUUGAUUUAAUAAUAAACUUAAGACGUUGCCUUUG